rnacentral:lncRNA from 1 species
AAAAUAGUCCAUGGAAGAUAAUUUAUUUGGGGGAAUAGUAGGGAAUCCUAACAAUGGUAGAGAAAGCUAAGAACUUUAAAAGUUCUUUAAAGCUAAAAACUUUAAAAGUUGAAACCCUAAAUAGUGGGGAGAUAUUACAUCACUGUCAUGUUGAUUGUCAAAUCAUGUGACUGCCUCAUCAUUCUGUAGGAAAUAUUUGUACUUCAUAUUUUGCCAAAGAUUACUGCCUUGAGCUCUGCCUUCCAGUUCUUGCCAAAAGCAUAUUUACGAAGGAUAACACUAGUGUAAAAAUUGCCUAAAAGAUAUAGAGUCCAGUUUGUCCCUGGAUAUUUCAUAUUUUAUCCAUAGACAAAACCAGACUUUCAGAGAGCUGGACAGUUAGGCCACAUUGUUUGGGUCACUGUGAAAAGCAGACAUAAAGACAUUGGAAUGAAGAGAGUCAAAGUGAUCUUGCUUGCCUAAGGUGACUAUGAAUUCAGAGGGGAGUCCACAUGGCAGCAAUAGGAUAGUGGGGAGAAGAAGUGGUUGUCAUGGACUUUGAGAAGAAUUGAGGAAGGGGAUGUGGAUUUGGGGAAAGUAGGUGACCCUUAGGAUGAUGGUGGCUAGUUCUUUCCCCCCAUAGAGAGAAGUGAAAAGGAAGUGGGAGCUCAGAGCAAGGAAGUUUGGGAUGCGUAAGUUUCCCCUAUGUAAAGAUGGAAUAUGAAGAUCUAAUAAACUUUUUCUCACCCUCCUUCCUGUUGCAUUUGGGAAUAUGAAAAAUACAAAGUAUCAGUGAGAUAUGAUGUAGGGAAUAAUAAAAACCUUUGGAAAAGGACCAUUUAGAAAUUGAAAUAAGGCCAUUUUUUUCUAUUCUCUUACUUCAUUUUUGGUUUACUAUGGGAAAAGCAGAACUCAGGAAUGUCUACAGUCAGGGAUAGAAUUAGAUUCCACCAGUGAAGUUUUGCACUUCAUAUUUUGCCAGUGAUUACCACCUUGUGUUAUGCUUUUCAGUGCCUUUCUGGAACUGAGUUUUUAAAAGCCAGUGAGUUAUUGUCAGCCAGACUUGUCUUUUUUUUUUCCUCCCAGUUAGGGGGUGCACUUUUCACAAAAAUACAGUGAUUAACACUAAUGGAGCAGGGUCCUGUGCCUGGUUAAUUCUCUUUAGACUUUGAUUCUAGUCCCCAGUUAUACACAUGGAGGCAGCAGCAUCAGUGGGUUAGAACUGAAAGGUCAUGUGUAAAACUCUCCAGAGAAAAGGGAGAAUGUGACACUAAAUCACCCCUUUGUGCUAUGACAGGAGGGAGAUAAUUUCUUCCCCAGAGGGAUGAAGCAGAAUUUCAUCCCUUUAGGAUGUUUUGUCACUAGUCUGAGUUUAAUGGAACACUGUGCUUCAGAAAUCACUCCUUCUAGAAAGAGCCUUUUAAAGCUUUAUUGACUCAUGGAAAAUUUUGUGUCCUUAAAUUAUAGCUAAUGCUCUGGUUUUGUCCCAUUGGGAUAUAUAUGGGCAUGGAAGCUUACACCUAGUUCAGGUCCACAUCCUUGUGUCUGAUUGGGAGUAACUGCCCCAUGAGCACUGGGUAUAGCUAUAGUAACUAGGAAAUGUGUUUUUUUAAGGAUUAGAAUCACUAUGGUAAAUGAGACCAAUAGAACAUUCAAAGACUAUAACACAAAAAUCAUAUAGGUAUACUAUAUGUGUAAGGAUGUCAGAAUAUCUGUCCUGCCUGUGGUCCUUGUUGUAAUGUGUCUUUCCCAGAAUACUGUUUUGUACAUGUUGCUCCAAAGGGUGGAUUUUAGUGAUGAACUCUUGAUGAAUAUUUAGAUGGUGGCAUCGUUAUGAAAAGUGUUACUGUUUUCUACAAAAUGAAUCACUUUUGGUUAUGCUUACAUUUCUAGAGUGUAUCACCUCUUGAUAAAUUAAGCACAAAGGCAUUUAUAUAUAAAAUAUAUAUAAACACAUAUAUAAAAUAUAUAUUAUGUAUGUAUAUAUUAUGUAAAUAAAUAUACAUAUAUAACCAUGCAGGGUGGAGGAAGGGAAAUGUAUACUAUAUAUGUUUCUCAUUGUCUUCUGUUCAGGACUCAUCUGGAAUUUUAUUCUGGCUCAAUUUUUUUUCUUUUUUUAAGGUUAUAGAUAGAAAGACCUUGUUCCUUUAUUUAAAGUGUUCAAUGGGUGGAUAAUAGUAAUAGCAUCUACUAGUUAAUGAGUACUCAUUUUGUGCUAGGCAACAUUCUAUUAACAACCUAUGGGUUUCAGUGCAUCCUACAAUAGCAAAUGGCAGAGUUGGACUUAAACUGAAAUCUGGCUGAUGGCAAGGUCCACUUAACCAUUCAGUUGACUUCUGUUAAAAAAAAGGGAAGCAUGCAAGUCGUAAAAGGGAAAAAAAGCAGUUAAAUUUCAUCAAGAAGAUGCCAUUUAUUUAUAAAAUGAGAGGAAGAGAUGUUUCCAAUUUCAUAGAGAAAAUAAGAGCAUAAUUAUAUGCCAUUUUUACAUAGAAUUAUGAAAGUUGCUGGUUAUAUAGUCAUAAUUUGCAUUUCCACCCAUUCUCUCUGUAAGCAGCUAUUGCCAUUUUUUUCUCAUGCACAAAAUCCUGUAUCCUGAGAAUGCAUCUUCCUUAGGAGCAGAAAAGAGGCAGCUUUGGAGCAGAUUCGCCACCUUUCUGGGUUUUGCUUUCCAGGACAGUACCGGCUCCGCCUCCUCGCUUGCUUUGACUUCUUGCACAUUCUUACCUCACAGCUGGUCAGACAAAAGCUUUUUGCUGAGGAUUUUCAUUUCUCAAAGACUACAAACUCGAUGUGCCAAAAUAUGACUUCGUUUUCCUAUAAGUUAAGUGAAUUCCUCUCUUGAGCCUCUAUAUUCUCUGUUGAUGUAAAUUUGACCUUAAUUUGGCGUGUUUCCUUCUCGUUCUCCUACUGCUGGGGACACGUCUUCAUUCAAAGGCAAAGUGGGUGGGGACCAAGGUAAAUGACGUAACAUCACAGUUUGGUGGAGUGAGUUGUGUCCUGGUCUUCAUCCAUCCUGUCUGGCAUUCCUUAGAUACCUAUUGUCAUAGUCAUAGCUAGUCUUGGUUACUGAUAUCUUUGCACACUGACAUCCUCUGAUUCUUCUUUGGUCUAAAUGAAAUAGAAAUUACAAGAUGUUUAAUGCAGCGUGGAAUGGGAAGGAAGAAAUGCAUGAAGUAGAGGGUAUGGUAAUCUCAACAGAUUCUGGCAAAUUUCUCCUAUGACUACAACUUAUAUUUGGGGUGAAAUUUUAAAAAGCCUCUGUAGGAAAAUAGAAUAUUAGUGCUAUUUUCACAAGGAAAAGAGUAGGCAUUCUAUUCAAAUAAUUUAUGAAGGAAUUGAUCUAAGCAAAAAAAAAAAAAAAGUUAAGGAGGUGCCAUUUAAUUCAUCUCCUGAGACUAACUCAAUUGCUUCAGAAAUCUUUACUUUGAGAAAUUUAGCGAGACAGCGAAUUGUUUGGGGGAAGGAAUAAAAAGUGCUGCCCUAGGAGGAAUGAAAAGUGCGCUGUCAUCUCAUUCCUGUUAGUUUUUUUUCAGCAAUGCUUUGGUAUUAAAUGUAUAGCCAAAAGUUGAAAGGAACCAUUAAUUCAUAGUUGGAACACAUCUCAAAACAAACACAGAAAGGUCAAAACACAGCUCUUUUGGUAAGUAUUCUUUUAGGAACACAAGUUAGCAUUUGUAGCCCAUCUACUUUUUUCAUACUGAUGUAUUACUCAGGAAAUCUUUUCAAAAAAGUGAUUUCUAUGUAUGCUGUUAAUUGUAAUUUUUACUAGAGAAAUUGGAGCACAAAACAUCACAACCUUCCUGUAAUUAACCUGUGGCAGAUGGAAGUUCAAGAAUUACAUCUUCUGCCAAUUAAGGAUAUUUUUCUUUAAUUACAAGUACUUGGGCAUUUCAGUAAAUGUAAUGGUUUAUAUUUUAUGCAUAAGGGUUUUGCUUCUGUGGAAAAAUAUUUUUUUCCCCAUAGAAAUGAAGUUGAGCAAAAUGGAACAAAGAAGACAGAUGUGUAAAAUUGCCAUGAUUUAAUAUUUUUAUACCACCAUCUGAGCAUAAAAUUAGACUAUACUACAGGGAGAGCAUAGAACAAUAGCAUCAUUGGUGUUUUUGAUGGACUUGAGCCUGUGGGAUGAGAGGGCUUGUUGAGGUGGGACACAGAUUGAGAAAGGUGAAGUGGCUACUGGUACGCAUGGGGACCUUUCAUUUUCCAUGAGAUGGGGAGGAAAACUCCCUGGAAAGAAGAGAGACCAAACAACCAUUUGUGAGAUGGGGGUGAAACCCAAACUGUGAUAGUUCUUUUCAAUUCAAAAUAGUGGUAGGGGAUAUCAAAGGGGAGAAGAAUCAGAGAGACCAUGAGCAUGAGAUUUUUGGAAGGGAUGUGGAGUAAGGAGUUGCAAUUCAAACUAGAAGAAGCUAUAAAAGGAACUAAUGGUAGCAGUAAAUGAUAUUUUCUAGAUUAUAAGGAGAUGUGAGAAAUUGCUUGUUUUGAAAUGUUUUGAAUUCUGUUCCUUCCACUGCUGACUUGGUUUGGUCUCCCAUCUGUAAAAUAUAUAAUCAGGUAGCAAUGAUGAGCCCUAACAUUUGUUAUGUGCCAUGUGCCAGGUAACAUACACACAUGACAUGGCACCUGUCUCAAGAAGCUUGCAGUAUAAUAUGGGAUACAUAUAAGACAUUAAAUUACAAUUUGGUGCAAAAACCAAAUGAUUUACAAGUUAUGGCAGUGGCUUAUAGAGGAAUGAUUCUCACUGCCUGUGGCAAGAGGUGAAAUCUGAGUAGGGGGUUCUGGGGAGUUUCUGCAGAGGAAGUGUUCUAGAAGAUACAGAAGAGAUGGUUAGAGAAGGAAGGAACAGGAAUUUUAAUUUUCUUUUCCUCCUCCUCUUCCUCCUUGUCUUCUUCCUCCUCUUCCUCCUUCUUCAUCUUCUUUUUUUUUUUAGAGGUGGAGUCUCACUAUAUUUCUCAGGCUGGAGUCAAACUUCUGGGCUCAAGUGAUCCUCCCACUUCAGCCUCAAGCCAGCUGGGACCACAGCUCCUCCUGCCCCUGCAGGAUCUCUUUUUCAGCUUCUCUACGUCCUGGGAAAAGCUCAUGUACAGCCCCAUGGUGAAGGGCACCAGCUUCUGCAGGACAUGUGUGUCACUGGAUAUGAGGGCAGUGAGAGACAGAUGAGGGAGGGUUCUGUUUUUUCCUCACUCUCUUGACUUUGUGUCCAUUGGCAGCCCUGCUCACACCAAUCGUCACCUCUGGCCCACCACCAGAAACAGAGCCAAGAGAAUUUCAGAGGCUUCUUCACCAGCAUCCACAAUUGUGGGAAGUCUAAUUCCUAGUAAAAUCUCUUCUUUUCCAUCACACAUAAUGGUUCUGCUUCUCUGAUUGAACCUUAACUGGUACAGUUCCCCUACAAUACAUCAUGAAUGCAAGUGUGGCUAAUUUGUGCUUAUUAAUAGUGACGAGCAAUUGGGUGGCAUAAAUCAUUAAAAUUACAGGUGAUUAAAACGUGUUAUUUAGUAAUUUCAACCACUUCUUCUAACAAAUAUAAAAAUUAGGUGACUUCUAUUUCACUGCCUUUUAUGAAUUGAAUGAUGAAUACAGUUAAUGGUUCUCCUAUGUAAAUCAUUGCUUUUUCCAUAGGGGACAAUUUAAUACCGAGGGAACUUCCAACACUGGUAACAUCUGUCUUCUUUGUGUCAGAGAGUGGAGAUAUGUGUGGAGACUGUUUACAAAUGUGAGAAAAGGAGGAGGCUAAAUAUUUUUAGUGACACUUUUGGUGAUAGUAUGUGUACACAUAUAUCAUUUUCAAAAAUCCAAAGAGCACUUAUUCCUGCAAAUGUGAAUUAAUCCUUUUCUUACUUUGAGCAUGACCAUAUAACUUGCUUUGGUCCAUAGGACAUUAGCAAGAGAGUGCAAACCAAGACUUCAUAAGUACUUGUGCAUUGGAGCUUGGCUAUCUAGAAAGUUCCCUUUCGGGAGCCAGUUACUAUGUUGAAAAGAUGCUUGGGCUGAAUCAUGAGAGGCAACAUGGAGAGAGGCAUGGGGAAUUAGGAGACCCACCAGCUGAACCCUGCCAGAAUUUCUGAGAAACAGAAUUCUGAGAAAUAAUAAAUUGUUGUUUGGGGGUGGUUUGUUAUAUGGCAAUGGAAGACUGAAACAAGCUAUAACAGCCUUCACAACAAACUUUCUUCUUUCUUUAAACAAACAAACUAUGCAUUAACUUAGUUCUGAUUAUUCCUUUUUAAACUCCUUCCCUAGUUUUCCUCUUAUUGUCUCAACUUCGUCUUUUCUCAUGGAGGUGUGGAUGGCUGGUGCUAUAAGCAUUGUGAGUUGGGAGAUACUGGCAAGCCCUGCUUACCAAGAAUCUUUUCCUUAUCAGCCUGUCCUGGUACUUGAAACUUCACCAUUAUAUAAAUAAGGAAAAUUUUCUCCUAAACUAAAGAAUUUUCAUCUCCAAGAAUAAAUAUGCAACUAUCCCUGGACACAUACACUAUUCUUUGUCAUUCACCAUUGAGCCAGGAUUAAUUUGUAAGUUUGCUUUCCUGGGAAACAGCUAACUGAGAAGGAACAGAAAGACUUGCCCACACAUUGACUUCUGAUUGGUAGGCUCUUCCCCUUUUUCUCUAUCCAAAUAACUCCUGCUCUUUCUUCAGCUCUUUUUUUUUUUGGGAGACGGAGUCUCGCUCUGUCACCCAGGCUGGAGUGCAGUGGCAGUGGCGCGAUCUCAGCUCACUGCAACCUCCACCGCCCAGGUUCAAGUGAUUCUCCUGCCUCAGCCUCCCGAGUAGGGUUACCGCAGGCAUGAACCACCAUACCUGCCUAAUUUUUAUAUUUUUAGUAGAGACGGGGUUUUGCCAUGUUGCCCAGGCUGGUUUUGAACUCAUGGCCUCAAGUGAUCCAUCUGCCUUGGCCUCCCAACGUGUUGGCAUGAGCCACCAUGCCUGGCCUGUUCCUUCAGCUUUUAACUCCCUGAACCCUGUGAUUAGGUUAAUUUUCCCAUUAUAGGCUCUGAUAGUACCAAAAAACUCCUCUUUGAGCACUUAUCGCAGUGGCAAUUCAACCUUUUUUAUGUGUAAUUAUAUUUAUAUCUCCUAGAACUGUAAGCUCCAAAGGGUCAGAGACCUUGUCUGUUUUGACCACUGUAGUAUUCCCAAUUCUUCCCAUAUACGCUGACACACAGAAUGUACUCAAUAUUUGUUAAAUGAAUGAGUGAAUGAAUGAACUGUGAUUCUGAACAAUUAAAUUCUCUCUUUCUUUCUUUAGAAAUUCUUGUGCCUGGACUUGGUUUUUUAUUACUAUUGGGGGCAAGAAAGCAGUCACUUGGCAUUCUAAAAGCUCUAUGAGAUGUUUCAAGAGGAGGAAAUUAAAGCUAAGUGUGCUAUGCUUGAAAUGAAGACUUAUUAGACCAAUGUAGGCUCCCUUACAAUGCCUGACCCAUUUCAGUUGUAGCCCAUGAACAAAAUCAUUUCCAGAAGUGAGAAAACUAAUAAGAGCUAACAUGCCUUGUACUAGCAGGCAUUGUAAAAACAUCACUGGAGCGCCGUCAAUAUUAUUCCUGUUUUUCCACACCAUAAUAAUUUAUAGCUUCCCUUUCUUUUAUAAUUAAAUAAUUUCAGACGUGUUAAGGAAGAACCAUAAUGGUUUAAUACACUUUGCAGUUCUCUGAUUUAUCUUCACUGAAGCCUGUAAUAAUUAAACAUAAAAAUUAUAUACAGUGGGUUUAUUAAUAUAAGAAAAAAGGAAGUGAUGGAGCUUUAGAUUUUCUUUUAAUAUUGCUAUUCCACCUUUGAAUGGGUUGAGCAAGAAUAGCAAUCAUGUUUUAACCAAUGUUUAUCUUAUGAAUAGUAUUUUUGUCAUUUUCUGAGGGGUGUGUGUCAAAAGCUGCCACUUUUAUUUCCCUAGGGAUAAUUGCUGCUUGUUCUUCAAUUUAGAAUAUCUGGGGUAGUAAUUGAUCUGGAGAAGCACUUCUUAAAGUGCAAUGCUAAUUGCAGGAAAGAGAAAAAUGGGUUCUGUGGUCACACAGGUUUGGGAAAUGCUGCCUUAAAUAAAAUUAAAUAGUGCUUUUUUUCUUUUGUCACAGGAUUGAUAAUAAUAUGCUCUGUAAAUCUCCAAAAGGAAGGUUAUAAUAUACAGCAUUUCCCAUUGUCAUCUGAUCAUUGAAUUUUAAAUUUAAUUAAACACUUUUUUGGUUUGGUAUGUUCUUUGACAUUUAAAUGUGUUCUCUCAGUUUAAAUUUUGGGAGACUUAACCCUCAAAAUGUUUGUGAGAUAUAAAUAAUCCUCUUCUUAUGCAUGUAGAGAGGUGUAUACAGGCAUAACUUGGAG